GCCCAUGUAGCUCAGCUGGAUAGAGCGCCCCUUUCGCAAGGGGGAGGUCGUAGGUUCGAUUCCUAUCGCGGGAU
rnacentral:tRNA from 1 species